rnacentral:rRNA from 1 species
AUUGAACGCUGGCGGCAGGCCUAACACAUGCAAGUCGAACGGAGCGGCGGACGGGUGAGUAAUGCCUAUGAAUCUGCCUGUGAGUGGGGGAUAACGUCCGGUAACGGACGCUAUUACCGCAUACUAUGAGAUGAGCCUAGGUCGGAUUAGCGAGAUGGGGGGGUAAAGGCAUACCAAGGCGACGAUGCGUAACUGGACUGAGAGGAUGAUCAGUCACACGUGAACUGAGACACGGUCCAGACUCCUACGGGAGGCAGCAGUGGGGAAUAUUGGGCAAUGGGCGAAAGCCUGAUCCAGCCAUGCCGCGUGUGUGAAGAAGGUCUUCGGAUUGUAAAGCUCUUUAAGUUGGGAAGCGGUACCAAAAGAAUAAGCACCGGCUAACUUCGUGCCAGCAGCCGCGGUAAUAC